AGUUAUAAAUUCCAUACAUUUCUACUAUUAAAAAUUGGCGUAGCUGAAAUAACUAAAUGGUAAUAUCAGGCGUGCCACGUGCACCUCAUGUUAAUGUACAAUGACCAAAUUUUAAUAAUAAAAUAGAUGAUUUUUUUAACA
rfam:Gossypium hirsutum cultivar TM-1 chromosome 19, whole genome shotgun sequence